UCUCAUUUAUCUCUACAAUUUAUGUAGUUGAUAUGUGAAAGUGUGAAAUAUCUGCCCGCCUAACCACAGUCUCAGUGGCAGAGAGAUAAGAAACGGAGAAAAAUGACUUUCCUGAGGGGAAAUUAGUGCAAAAUUGAGCAAUGCGGUUUUUUCUAAACAUAUUUUUCUAAGUUUUGCCCGAUUUUAC